rnacentral:rRNA from 1 species
GCCGGCGGCGUGCCUAACACUUGCAAGUCGAGCGAGAAAAGGGGGGCAACUCCCUGAGUACAGCGGCGCACGGGUGAGUAACACGUAGGUAAUCUCCCCUCGAGCCCGGAAUAACCUACCGAAAGGUGGGCUAAUACCGGAUAUGACCACGGAAGUUUCGGCUUCUGCGGUGAAAGAUGGCCUCUAUUUAUAAGCUAUCACUCAAGGAUGAGCCUGCGUGCCAUUAGCUAGUUGGUGGGGUAAUGGCCCACCAAGGCUAUGAUGGCUAGCUGGUCUGAGAGGAUGGCCAGCCACACUGGGACUGAAACACGGCCCAGACUCCUACGGGAGGCAGCAGUGGGGGAUAUUGCGCAAUGGGCAAAAGCCUGACGCAGCGACGCCGCGUGGGUGAUGAAGGCCUUCGGGUCGUAAAGCCCUGUCGAGGGGGACGAAUCGGUUGCGACCUAACACGUCGUGAUCUUGACGGUACCCCUAAAGGAAGCACCGGCUAACUCCGUGCCAGCAGCCGCGGUAAUACGGAGGGUGCUAGCGUUGUUCGGAAUCACUGGGCGUAAAGCGCGUGUAGGCGGUCCGUUAAGUCUGAUGUGAAAGCCCGGGGCUCACCCCCGGAAGUGCAUUGGAAACUGACGAACUCGAGUCCCGGAGAGGAGGGUGGAAUUCCUGGUGUAGCGGUGAAAUGCGUAGAUAUCAGGAGGAACACCGGUGGCGAAGGCGGCCCUCUGGACGGUGACUGACGAUGAGACGCGAAAGCGUGGGGAGCAAACAGGAUUAGAUACCCUGGUAGUCCACGCCGUAAACGAUGAGCACUAGGUGUCGCGGGUAUUGACCCCUGCGGUGCCGACGCUAACGCAUUAAGUGCUCCGCCUGGGGAAUACGGCCGC